rnacentral:rRNA from 1 species
AGUAACGCGUAGGUAACCUGCCUUGUAGCGGGGGAUAACUAUUGGAAACGAUAGCUAAUACCGCAUAACAAUGGGUGACUCAUGUCAUUUAUUUGAAAGGGGCAAAUGCUCCACUACAAGACGGACCUGCGUUGUAUUAGCUAGUAGGUGAGGUAACGGCUCACCUAGGCGACGAUACAUAGCCGACCUGAGAGGGUGAUCGGCCACACUGGGACUGAGACACGGCCCAG